rnacentral:misc_RNA from 1 species
GUUUUCCUAGAUCUUGGAUAUUCUCUCAAUCCAGCCAUUGACGUUGGCCAGAUUGAAGGAGCAUUUGUACAAGGAUUGGGUUGGGUGGCUUUAGAAGAGUUGAAAUGGGGAGAUCCAGCUCAUAGAUGGAUUGCCCCUGGUACUCUGUAUACUGCUGGACCUGGAAGUUACAAAAUCCCAUCUAUUAAUGACGUCCCUUUCAAGUUUAAUGUUUCUCUUUUGAAGGGUCACCCAAAUGUGAAGGCCCUCCAUUCAUCAAAAGCAGUGGGAGAACCUCCAUUCUUUUUGGCAUCUGCAGUCUUCUUUGCAAUCAAGGACGCUAUAAUCGCCGCAAGGAAAGAGGCAGGGCAUGAUGAUUGGUU